AGUGCAGAAAAUACUGGUGGGGAAGUUAUUUAUUAACAUGGAAACAGGGACCACAUUCCACAGGUAACCCAAAGUAGGAAUGUAAAAUGCUUUUUCUUUAGAAGAUUGGACUUCAUGGGGCCUUCUUUUGGCCUAUACCGAAAGUAACUCUAGGUUGCAGUCCCUACAUUUUUUUUUCUAUAUAAGUGAGGGGCUGUGAUGAAGAGAAAGUGAAGCAUUUGAAAGUUAACCAGGUGAGGAGCAGUGGAUCUUGGUCCAUUCGACCUAGCACAACAAGACCCCAGAAUUCGUGAAGUAGUGUACUGGGGUCCAGAAGAAAACAAGGGAGAUGAACCAGAAUAGGAGGCAUAACCAAGGAAAUACAGGACCGGUUCUCUUAGCUGACAGUAAGCCUAGGCUCAAAUGGACACCAGAGCUUCAUGAGCGCUUUAUGGAAGCAGUCAAUCAACUUGGAGGAGCAUAUAAAGCUACUCCAAAAACAAUCAUGAAGCAAAUGGGGAUUCAGGGAAUUACUCUAAACCACAUAAAAAGCCAUCUUCAGAAGUACAGAAUGAGUGAGCAUUUCCUUGGACAAGCUAGUACUGAGAACACAAGGAAUGUGACUGGAGACAGGAGGUUUGAAGCCAAUGGAGAGAGUAUCUACAAAAUACCCCUAGGUUCCCACACAAAUAAGUGAGAGAAUGGAAACUUUUUAUAUUCACUACAGUUUUCAUUCAGUAUCUAAAUACUUCUACCAUAUCUAUUGUAUACCAACAAUCUAUGUUACAAUAUAGAAGCUUACAGAAGAGUACAGCACUACAGAUGCUAAUUGAAGUGCCGAGAAGACCCCAUGAACAGCUUGAGGUACUCCACAAUUUUAAUUCUAGAUUUCUAACAUCUUUGAUAUUUACCAUAUCCCAUAUUUGAUGAUGUAUAUAUAUGUUUUUCAGCAAAAUAGCAGACAGUUGACAUGGAACAUUGAAUGACCCAAUAUUACAUCUCCUGAAAAGCUAGGAGAUAGACACUCAAUUUGUGUAUGGGUGCCACAAAUAUAUAAGUUCUACUAGCUUAUCUAAAUUUUUAUAGCAUAACUUUGAAAACAUCACUCAUCAGAACACACAAACAUGCUGCAAUUAUUACUCCUCUCUUGUUUUAAAAUCAUUAGAACUAUAUUCUUUUUACGUUAAAAUGUGUUUUGAAUGACAAAAGAAGUAUUUAAUUUGGGAUCAGUCCAACACGUUUUCAGGGAUUUCAGACACAGAUCUUCUUUAGAAAUUAGAAGUGUUUAUGUUACAUAGUUUCAGUUGCUUUCAGUUGACUGACAAUACUACUGUAAAUUCUAUAGAAAUUAGAGCUCAUUACAUUUGACACCAUUUCAGGAGAAGUUUAAAUUAUUAUUAUUGGGAAAGAAACAAGCAUCUCAUAGUAGUUAUUGAGCCUAAGAUCCAGGCUCUUAUAUUUUAACAAAUGCCACCCACAUCUGAACGAACCAAAGAAGGCAUACCUGUAUAUAUUCAGUAAGACAUCAUGAGGGUGUUACUUAAUAAUACCUUUAAGUUAAAUUGUUCUUAAAUUGUUAACUUAAAACUCAUUACUCAAUUUUUACUUUAAGUAUUAAGGUUAUUUGGUAAAGUUUCAUUAAAAUUUAUUUUAAAUCAUUAAAUCGAUAUAUUUUACCCUAAUGAAUUUUAACUAAUAUUUAUACUUUCACUAAUCUUAAGCAAUAAUUUGUUAAACAUCCAUAUUUAAUAUUUAAAGUAUUAUCGAUGCAUAAAUAUAAAAGAUGCGUUGUAAAAUAUACUCUCACUUAACAUGAACAAAUAAAGCAAAAGAUAUUUGAAAUUAAAAAUAAGUUAGUUAUUUUAACUUAAUACUUAUAGUUAUUUUUUUACUUUAAAUUGUGAUAUUAAAUUAUUUUAUCAAACAUGCUUAAUUCAUAUAAUGACUUAAAAAUUAAGUUAUUAAAUCAUUAACUUGAUUUACCAAACACCCUUAUGUCCUUUUUUUUCCCUUACGGAAUAGUGACAACAUGUUAUCAAAUAUGAUAAUUAAAUUUCAGUUCCCUGAAGAGGAGGAACCCCAUUCCAUGGUGCAGCAACACUUACAAGUACAGGUGGAAAGCCAGGAGAAAUACUCGCAUGCUAUUUUCAAGGGAGUCCACCGAACACUGGGAAGAGAGAAUCCCAGCCUAGAGGGAGGUAAAGGUGCAAGAGACCAGCCCUCUCGACUAGUCUUCAAAAUUCCAGAUAGAUACCAGGAUGCUUUGCACCCUAAGUUCACAGAAUUGCCAGGUCUGUGUGCUGAAGAAACACAAAUGAACCAUUUUCCUAACUUUUCAAAGAAUAGCUGUCCGACCUUGUUUGAAGAAUAUCAAAGUGAUAAAAAGAUGCACCACAACAUAGUGCACUUGGAAGCUUAUCACCAUGAUGUACCCCUAGCACCAAAAGACGUUGGAAAAUGGAGAACCUCUGACUAAUUACAAGCAUAGGGCUUCAAGGCUAUAAAGAAAGCAGCAGCAGCAGCAUCACCCCUGCAGCUCAAUUAUCAAUAAAGAGAAUACCAAUAAACCCUAGGUUGCUUUGUUUCACUGAAAACUUCUGCCAGCAAUCAAAAUCAACCAGGAAAAUAAAACAGAAAAACCAUGAUAAUGGAUAGUACUGUGAACUAUGAAUCGGAUAUUAUGCCGCCAUUAAGAAUAAAUUUGGUUUUAGCUAAUAAAGCAUAAUGUUGUAGGCAUCUUUGUAGUGUCAAGAUAUAAAUAACAGAUAUUGCUCAAACAAGGCACUUUGCUA